rnacentral:rRNA from 1 species
AAACAUGUCUAUUUGGAGAUAUAAAUAGUCUGGUCUGCUCACUGAUAAAGUUAUUGUUUAAGAGCCGCGGUAUUUUGACCGUGCAAAGGUAGCAUAAUCAUUAGUUUUUUAAUUGAGAACUUGUAUGAAGGAUCGGACAAAGGAAUAGCUGUCUCUAUCACAAAUAUUGAAUUUAACUUUUAAGUGAAAAGGCUUAAAUAGUUCAAGGGGACGAUAAGACCCUAUAAAGCUUUAUGUGUUAAUUAAAUUUAAUUGAAUUGUUAGAAAAUAAAAGUUUAGUUUGAUUGUCAUAUUUUGUUGGGGCGAUAUAGGUAUAAUUUAUAUUAACUACUUAAGUUUAAUACAAAGAUGGAUGUGUAUAUUAUAGUAAUUGAUCCUUUUUAAAGAUUACAAGACUAAGUUACUUUAGGGAUAACAGCGUAAUUUCUUUUGAGAGUUCAUAUCGAAAAAGGAGUUUGCGACCUCGAUGUUGAAUUAAAAUGUCUAUAUAAUGCAGCCGUUAUAUAAGAAGGUCUGUUCGACCUUUAAAGUUUUACGUGA